rnacentral:rRNA from 1 species
UGAGUGCGAGCGGCUACGGCCGCGAAGUGGGUGAUGUCAAGCUUCCAAGAAAAGCCCUAUACCCGUUAAGGCAUGAUGGCCUGUACCCGAAACCGACACAGGUGGGGUGGUAGAGAAUACCGAGGGGCGCGAGGUAACUCUCUCUAAGGAACUCGGCAAAAUGGCCCCGUAACUUCGGGAGAAGGGGUGCCACCGCAAGGUGGUCGCAGUGAAGAGGCCCAGGCGACUGUUUACCAAAAACACAGGUCUCCGCUAAGUCGCAAGACGAUGUAUGGGGGCUGACGCCUGCCCAGUGCCGGAAGGUUAAGGAAGCUGGUCAGCGCAAGCGAAGCUAGCGACUGAAGCCCCGGUGAACGGCGGCCGUAACUAUAACGGUCCUAAGGUAGCGAAAUUCCUUGUCGGGUAAGUUCCGACCCGCACGAAAGGCGUAACGAUCUGGGCGCUGUCUCGGAGAGAGGCUCGGCGAAAUAGAAUUGUCUGUGAAGAUGCGGACUACGUGCACCCGGACAGAAAGACCCUAUGAAGCUUUACUGUAGCUUGGUAUUGUGCCCGGGCUCUGAAUGCGCAGGAUAGGUGGGAGGCUUUGAUCCAUGGCUUGCGGGUCAUGGUGAGCCAACGGUGAGAUACCACUCUUUCAGAGCUAGGGUUCUAACGGUCACCCGUCAUCCGGGGACCGGACAGUAUCAGGUGGGCAGUUUGACUGGGGCGGUCGCCUCCUAAAAGGUAACGGAGGCGCGCAAAGGUUUGCUCAGGCUGGUUGGAAAUCAGCCGACGAGUGCAAAAGCAGAAGCAAGCUUGACUGUGAGACCUACAAGUCGAACAGGGACGAAAGUCGGCUUUAGUGAUCCGACGGUUCUGAGUGGAAGGGCCGUCGCUCAACGGAUAAAAGUUACUCUAAGGAUAACAGGCUGAUCUCCCCCAAGAGUUCACAUCGACGGGGAGGUUUGGCACCUCGAUGUCGGCUCAUCGCAACCUGGGGCUGAAGUCGGUCCCAAGGGUUGGGCUGUUCGCCCAUUAAAGCGGUACGCGAGCUGGGUUCAGAACGUCGUGAGACAGUUCGGUCCAUAUCCGGUGCACGCGCAGGAACAUUGAGAGGAUUUCUCCCUAGUACGAGAGGACCGGGAGGAACGCACCUCUGGUGUGCCAGUUAUCGUGCCAACGGUAAACGCUGGGUAGCCAUGUGCGGAGUGGAUAACCGCUGAAAGCAUCUAAGUGGGAAGCCCACCUCAAGAUGAGUGUUCCCAUGGCAUAAGCCAGUAAGGUCACGGGAAGAACACCCGUUGAUAGGCUCUACGUGGAAGCCGGGUAACCGGUGAAGCGGAGGAGUACUAAUAGACCGAGGGCUUGAC